AUGAUCAGAGGAGCUGGGCUCCUUGCGAGCUCAACCUAUUCUCAAACUUUCAAUGGGUGAGACGUCUCGCUGGCUUCACUGCAGCGACGACUCUGAAUCCGAGUGCCCAGUGGGCCACUUUUGGUAAGCAGAACUGGCGAUGCGGGAUGAACCGCAUGUCGAGUUAAGGUGCCUAAGCGGACGCAAAUCAGAUACCAUGAAAGGUGUUGAUUGCUCACGACAGCAGGACGGUGGCCAUGGAAGUCGGCAUCCGCUAAGGAGUGUGUAACAACUCACCUGCCGAAGCAAUCAGCCCUGAAAAUGGAUGGCGCUAAAGCGUUCCACCGAUACUCGACCGUCGUCGGCACGCGACCGGCCUUCCGUGCCGGUCUCAGGCCACGACGAGUAGGGCGGCGCGGCGGUGAGCGUCGAAGGCGUAGCCGUGAGGCUAGCUGGAGCCGCCGUCGGUGCAGAUCUUGGUGGUAGUAGCAAAUACACAAGCAAGAUCCUUGUGGACCGAUGUGGAGAAGGGUUCCGCGCGAACAGUACUUGGACGUGGGUGAGUCGGCCCUAAGCCAACGGGUAAUUCCCGCAUCCCGC
rnacentral:rRNA from 1 species